AAGCUCGUAGUUGAAUUUCGUGGUUCCACCGUUGGUCGGGCAAUAGUCUGUACUGGCGUGUAGAAUUUCUACCUUCUGGGGAACUAUCAUGUUAUUUAUUUAGCGUGGUAGGAAACCAGGACCUUUACCUUGAAAAAAUUAGAGUGUUCAAAGCAGGCUUACGUCUGAAUACAUUAGCAUGGAAUAAUAAAAUAGGACGGUGGUCCUGUUUUGUUGGUUUCUGAAUCACCGUAAUGAUUAAUAGGGAUAGUUGGG
rnacentral:rRNA from 1 species